rnacentral:rRNA from 1 species
CCUACGGGAUGCUGCAGUGGGGAAUCUUCCGCAAUGGGCGAAAGCCUGAAGGAGCAACGCCGCGUGAUCGAAUGAAGGCCUUCGGGUUGUAAAGAUCUGUUGUCAGGGACGAAUAACCAAUGCGAAUAGCUGUGUGUAUGACGUUACCUGAUUAGAAAGCGCUGGCUCAAUACGUGCCAGCAGCCGCGGGAAUACGGAGGGAGCAUGCGUUGUCCGGAAUUACUGGGCGUAAAGGGCGCGUAGGUGGGAUCUUAAGGCAGGUGGGAAAACUCCGGGCUCAACCCGGAGACUGCACUUGAAACUGGGUGUCUUGAGAGCAGGAGAGGAAAGUGGAAUGCUUAGUGUAGCGGUGAAAUGCGUAGAGAUUAGGCAGAACACCGAUUGCGAAGGCAGCUUACUGGACUGUAGCUGACGCUGAGGCGCGAAAGCGUGGGUAGCGAACGGGAUUAGAUACCCCUGUAGUC